AGCAGCCGCGGUAAUUCCAGCUCCAAUAGCGUAUAUUAAAGUUGUUGCAGUUAAAAAGCUCGUAGUUGAAUUUCGGGAUCAGUGGGUUGGUCAUGCCACUGGUAUGUACUGGCUUUACUGAUUCCUCCUUCUUGAAGAACUGUAAUGCCAUUAAUUUGGUGUUGCAGGGAAACAGGACUGUUACUUUGAAAAAAUUAGAGUGUUUAAAGCAGGCAAUCGCUUGAAUACAUUAGCAUGGAAUAAUGAAAUAGGACGUUCGAUCCUAUUUUGUUGGUUUCUAGGAUUGACGUAAUGAUUAAUAGGGAUAGUUGGGGGCAUUAGUAUUCAAUUGUCAGAGGUGAAAUUCUUGGAUUUAUUGAAGACUAACUACUGCGAAAGCAUUUGCCAAGGAUGUUUUCAUUAAUCAAGAACGAAAGUUAGGGGAUCGAAGACGAUCAGAUACCGUCGUAGUCUUAACCAUAAACUA
rnacentral:rRNA from 1 species